GACGAACGCUGGCGGCGUGCCUAAUACAUGCAAGUAGGACGCAGUUGCGAACGGGUGAGUAACGCGUAGGUAACUACCGCGUAGAAGGGGAUAACUAUUGGCACCGAUAGCUAAUACCGCAUACUAGUAGAUAGACCUACGUUGUGUUAGCUCGUAGGUAGGGUAAUGGCCUCCCUAGGCAACGAUUCAUCGCCGACCUGAGAAGGUGAUCGGCCAAAAUGGGACUGGGACACGGCCCAGACUCCUACGGGAGGCAGCAGUAGGGAAUCUUCGGCAAUGGGGGGAAACCUGAACGAGCAACGCCGCGGGAGUGAAGAAGGUUUUCGGAUCGGAAAGCUCUGUUGUGAAGGAAGCGGUACUUAACCAGAAAGGGACGGCUAACUACGUGCCAGCAGCCGCGGUAAUUC
rnacentral:rRNA from 1 species